rnacentral:rRNA from 1 species
UACGGGGGGGGCAAGCGUUGUUCGGAAUUACUGGGCGUAAAGGGCUCGUAGGCGGCCAACUAAGUCAGACGUGAAAUCCCUCGGCUUAACCGGGGAACUGCGUCUGAUACUGGAUGGCUUGAGUUCGGGAGAGGGAUGCGGAAUUCCAGGUGUAGCGGUGAAAUGCGUAGAUAUCAGGAGGAACACCGGUGGCGAAGGCGGCAUCCUGGACCGACACUGACGCUGAGGAGCGAAAGCCAGGGGAGCAAACGGG